rnacentral:rRNA from 1 species
GUGAGGAAUAUUGGUCAAUGGGCGCAAGCCUGAACCAGCCAUGCCGCGUGCAGGAAGACGGUCCUAUGGAUUGUAAACUGCUUUUAUUUGGGAAUAAACCUCCUUACGUGUAGGGAGCUGAAGGUACCAAAUGAAUAAGCACCGGCUAACUCCGUGCCAGCAGCCGCGGUAAUACGGAGGGUGCAAGCGUUAUCCGGAAUCAUUGGGUUUAAAGGGUCCGCAGGCGGUCAUAUAAGUCAGUGGUGAAAGCCUACAGCUCAACUGUAGAACUGCCAUUGAUACUGUAUGACUUGAAUUCGAUCGAAGUGGGCGGAAUGUGACAUGUAGCGGUGAAAUGCUUAGAUAUGUCACAGAACACCGAUAGCGAAGGCAGCUCACUAGGUCUGGAUUGACGCUCAGGGACGAAAGCGUGGGGAGCAAACAGGAUUAGAUACCCCUGUAGUCC